UCCGAACUGGUGCAAUUGGUAGCACAGUUGAGGCGUCACCCACUAGUUCGUAUUGGUGGGCCCUUCGGGGGGCAAAAGGUCUUGGUUCGAGUCCAGGGUUCGGAG